UGGGGAAUAUUGCACAAUGGGCGCAAGCCUGAUGCAGCAACGCCGCGUGAGGGAUGACGGCCUUCGGGUUGUAAACCUCUUUUAAGCAGAGAAGAAGCGAAAGUGACGGUACCUGCAGAAAAAGCGCCGGCUAACUACGUGCCAGCAGCCGCGGUAAUACGUAGGGCGCAAGCGUUAUCCGGAAUUAUUGGGCGUAAAGAGCUCGUAGGCGGUUUGUCGCGUCUGCUGUGAAAUCCCGAGGCUCAACCUCGGGUCUGCAGUGGGUACGGGCAGACUAGAGGUGCGGUAGGGGAGAUUGGAAUUCCUGGUGUAGCGGUGGAAUGCGCAGAUAUCAGGAGAAACACCGAUGGCGAAGGCAGAUCUCUGGGCCGUAACUGACGCUGAGGAGCGAAACGGGUGGGGAGCAAAACAGGCUUAGAUACCCUGGUAGUCCACCCGUAAACGUUGGGAACUAGUUGUGGGGUCCAUUCCACGGAUUCCGUGACGCAGCUAACGCAUUAAGUUCCCCGCCUGGGGAGUACGGCCGCAAGGCUAAAACUUGAAAUGAAUUGACGGGGUCAUAGCU
rnacentral:rRNA from 1 species